rnacentral:lncRNA from 1 species
UCUGACCGCACCCUCUUUGCUUUUUAAAAAAUGCCUUUUCACUCUUUAAGAUAAAUCCACUAUUAUACGAUCUGCCACUAAUUGUGUAUUAAGACUGUUUUUUUCACUCGAAAGCUGACGCAUCCCGCGCUCAACGUGGUGUAGAAAGCAGGCUGUUACAGUGCUGGAUUAAUAAAAGGGGCCUUUAUGGUUUGUGAAAGAAUAUCUCUGUGCUUAGGCAGGAAACUUUUUGAUCCACAGAAAAGCCAGACGACAUCUAGAGCAAGAGAAGCCAAGUUUAGGAGCAUGCAUAUUGUGAUAUCCUCAGUGAUUUCUUUUACCAUGCAUUCUGCUCAGGCCAG